GCGUUGGUGGUUUAGUGGUAAAAUUAGCCGUUGCCAUAAGAUCAUUGAGUCAUGUGAGCCGAUGUCGGCUAGCCCCGGGUUCGAUUCCCGGCCGACGCA